GUGUCUAGUGCCUCCGUGGGAGGACAUUGUCACCUGUGUCAACAGCUUUGAAGCUUUAGCUGAAUUUGUGAGAGUAACAUCGAGACUGGUGUUUGACCAACUGGGUGCCACAGACUAGCCAAACUGACCCAUAAAAUUAACCAUCACAGUCAGCUAUCUGAAUGCUGGGUUUUCCUAGCCCUGGCUAAUUCUUGGUACUCUUGACUCUCUUCUGACAGCAGAAAACAAUGAUCAGACAGGUUGAAUGAUUCAAUGGAAAUUUAAUCUGAUAUCAGCCACGUGUAAGAAGCAACCUCAUGUGAACUGGAAUUGUUAUGCUGGGAAUUAUCUGAUUCCUGCAGGCCUCUUGUCCUCAGCCCUGUGAAUGACUACUAAGGGAAUUUAAAGCAUGUGAAAUAGAAUAAAGGUAGAUUUGUUGACUCAGCAUUGAACUGGACAUCUCUCCUUUUUGCAGAGUUUCACUCUGUUGCCUGGGCU